CAGAUUGGAACACGAACUGCAGCCCUGUGCCAUCUGUUGUUGUCUCUUGGCCAUACGGGCAUGUUCCUGAAUGUCCCCUGUGUCAAUCCCAUGUGUUAUAGGUAGAGAGGUUUAACCAUUUGUUGGUGAAGCACCAGUGUGUUAAUAUCUUUUUAAAGCAAGUGAUUGUCUUGCAUUAAAAGGUGAUUGCCCUGUAUCACAUGCUGCUUUAAUUCAAACCAUUGUUACAGCAGGUAUUGUGGAGAAAAAACUUGUAAUUUGCCAGGCACAUUAAAUAUUCAUUGAUUUCAAAUUCAUAAAACUCACAGAGUUACAGAAUGUAGCUGUAUCCACAACCAGUGUAUUUCUGUAGUUAUUGACUUUCUUGAAAUGCUAUUUCACUAACAAGAGCGAAUGUUGUUCCAUAAAGAGCAAGAAGCUUAUGUUGAUCCCUGUAAUUACUCUUUAAACAGAUGGAACAUACAUGUCCAGCUCAUUUCAGAAGCCCCAGGCACAGCAGUUUUGCAGCUAUGAGGUUUUAGUCUCACUUCCAUGAAAAGGAAUGGCAGGAAAGAUAAUUUGUUAACUCUUUUUGAUUCUUGCUGCACAGCAAAUAUAUUGUUGGAAGGACAUGGAAAGCCUUGGAAAAGUAGCUAAACAGAAAUGAAUGCUGCUUGCACAAAGUGCCCUAGGCAUUGAGAAAUGCUCUUUUCCAAUGUCAGCCAUUCCCAGUAUGAAGCUUUCGGUGCUGUGAUGGCUGCACUGUGAGGCCAUCCCCAGUGAGUCAGCUUUUCUGGCCAGAAUCCCACAUGGAUCAUUAGCAAGUAGUAGCCAGUAAAAAAACCUGGAAGGCAAAGGUUUCAUCUCCCACUGUACAAGAGCCAUCUAUUUAGGAUCAAGGUUUAUCUACUGCUGCAUGGGAUCAGCCUUUUGUUGAACAUGAAAGUCUCAUUUGAAGCUUGUCUAAUGAUUAAUAUCUGCUGAAUGUCCUUUGUUGGAUCCCAGCAAAAAACCUGUCAGGUCAUGUAUUAAUUGAGGCAUGACAAGCAACUGAUUUGCUCUGGAUGAUGGCAAAAAAGCAACAAUUUAAAGGGCUACAGUUGCUAAUUUGGAACUAAACUGAAAGAUAGGAUCUGGAUUUCUUUCUUUUGGCUUGUACUUUAUCAUUGGGAUUUCUGAAAGCAGCUGGAACUCCUGCUAAACAGAAACAGAAAGGCUCUGGCUGGCUUCAGCUGAUGAGAUGUUGCACUGCCUGUGCCAGCUGAGCCUGUGUCCCAGAGGAAGAGUUCUGCCCUGUGGGAGGGCACAUGGUGGUAGUGCCUCCUGUCCUCCUGGCUCUGCCAGAGUGAAACCUAAAUCUCUGUGGGAGUCCAGGAGAGGAUGCCCAGAACCUCUGCACUCUUGUUGCCUUGGCAACAGCAUCUUCCUUUCUGAGCUGCUUCUAUGCACAGGUACUGUUGCAUACCCAGUGGCUCCUGCUACCUCUUGAUAUGAUCUCCUUUCCCUGUUUCCACUGAUGCAGAAUGGGUAAGCUUAACCUUCCUGGUGAAAAAAUCUGUGUCCUCUUCACUUCCCACUGAUAUUGCUGAGAAGGCACACCUUUAACCACUGCUUAAAGGUUGGGUUUGAUUAUCUUAGAAGUCUUUUCCAAUGUAAAUGAUUCUGUGAUUCUCUAUAACCAUGAAAUAAUAAACUAACUGUACUAGCUAGUUCCUGUAAUACAUACCUGUACAUAAUGAGUCUUCAGAGCAAGCACUCACCUCAGUCCAUUCCUGUUGUCUUGGGUAUUUUAUGAACUAUUCACCAAAGAAUGGCUGUAGUGAGAUGCAGCAAGUCCAGAUAACAGAAAUCUUCUGCCCUCUCACUCUUACAAUAAGUUCUUGUUGUAAAUUAAUAAGUUCAUGCAUUGCCAGAUCUUUCUUCCACAGUGUGGAAAUGGUACAUGGGAAUGUUGUUUGUAAAUGGCAUUUUGGCAUGGGUGAAAGUGUGUCAAGGUUUAUGCUAAAAGUUAAAUAAUACAACAGCUCUGUGGUAGUGAUUGGCCCAGUCUCAGACCUUCUCUAGUUCACUCCUAUGGACAUGUUUAGGAGUCCUGCAAGACUAAAAAAUGCAUCCUGAAGGAAGCUGCAUAAUGUGACUUGAAACCUCAGUGAAGCCCUUUCCAAUAGCUCCUCUCAUUGUAGUCACCCUGUUCAGUAUCUAAUUACUGUACAAUUUGAAUUCCAGGAAAGUUGCUCCAAAGCCUAAUUGUAUAUUUAUGGAAAAAAAGGUGACCUGGAAGCCUCAGCAGCCUGAAGUUUCAUCUAUGUUUAUCUCAAGACUGUUACUAAGGAAGGGAGAGCUGCCAGCUGUCUCCUGAAAGGAAAGGGUGUCCCUUGGGGGGAAAAUGGCUUUGGACAGGUGAUAUGCAAUAGAACUGAGCUAGUGGAAGUAAGAAUUCCACUUGGUGAUUGCAUAUAUCAUCUUCUGUAACUCUGCUGACAGGGGAAGAGCGGUCUCUGCCUCUCUACUCCUCUGGAAAGUGUUUGAGAUAAAUUACUCACAUCUCCAGGGACUGUGUAAGACACUGGAACCUGUGUAAGGGUAUAUGAGGAAGAGGAAGAUGAUGCCACGGGAACCUCACCCCAAUACAUCCUGAAGAAAUUGAAUUUUCACUCACUCACAAGGCUACUCCCUUGUGACACUUCUCGAAGGAGGAGGAAAGAAAACUCACAAGAAACUUGACUAUGUUCAUGUUGCUGAGCUGUCCCAGGGAGACACUUUAUUAUGCUAACGAUGAAGUAAGGUGAUACUGCUCCUCUCUCCUGAUAUUUUCAGCAGAGGGCUGCUCUGCUUCAUCUGCCUUUUGCUCAUCAAAGGUUUUGAGAUUUUGUUGGUAAAGAAGAAUUGUAGCCAUAUGGACUUUGAUUUUGCAGAGUCUGCAGGCAGUAGUACCUAUCAGCUGUUCAGAUGGAUUUGUUUAAUCAAUCAGAUUAACAUGUGGGAGCAAGAGGACAGGCCUUGCCUUCCACUUGCGUAAUCAACCUCCGUGAAAUAAUUCGUAUGCCAAGACGAGUAGUACAUUAUAAGAUUUGAAAUAGUAUAUAAUUUAAGAUUUGCUGACUCUGUAUUAUUUUCUAGUGGGUAAAAUAAAUGUUCUAGAAGAGAAAGCUUUGUGCAAAGGUGAAAAUUAAUUGGAGAUGAAAGUGAAACCAGAAACAUUGUGGCAUGUCUUGUCAUACUGUGAUUUCAGUACUGCUUUUAAAGCCAAUAGAGCUUACUUAUUUUAGUGUUCCCUGGUUUUUGCUUUAUCUUUUGGUAGUUUUG
rnacentral:lncRNA from 1 species